AUCUUGGUAAAGGGCGCUGACGCCGCGCGGCCACCAUCUUGGCAAAGGGUCUCGCUCGGGGCCUCGGGUGUCGCCCUUCCUCGCUCCGGAGGGGCAUCGCGCCCCGGGGGUGGUCGGGUGCGACAGGAGAGGGCGAGGCUUUCAGCCAGCUACUCCCCCGAGGCGCCCUAGGCGCGCUCCCUCCAGGGCCGCCAUCUUGGCAAAGGGAGAUACGCUCGCAGCCCCAGAAGGGAGAGGGCACCCAAACCUUGGCCAAGGUGGAACUUUAUGAAGGGUGCCGAGCAACCCAGGUGUCAGCCUUCUUCUGAAUGCAGGAGGGAUGGCUUCUCCUUUCCUUUCACUUGGUGCCAGCCUGCUAGAGGGAUGCCCUGGCCUUGGGGCGCACAGUCCUCUGAGCGCUAAGGCCAGCUGGCGGUUCCCACCUUCCACCUCUCCAGGCCUAGAACCAGGUGCCUGCAACGGCCGGGUUCCCAAACCAGCAGCAGUGCCAUGAGGGAGAAAAGCAAGACCCAAAGGCCGUUGGAGGGAGCCUAUGAAUGAUCCCCCAAAGACAACUCAACUGACUCAGAGAGUUAACUCCGAUGGUGCCGAUGAUGUAACUAAUAACCCCUAUGCAUGCACUGGCUGAACUUCAGAGCUGUAUUCAACACAUCCUUUUGAGCAGUCCUCCUGGAAGCUGGCCCCCUGUCUGGGCUACCGCACUGAGAGCAACAGAAGAGUGAAAUUUCACUUGGAAGUGACACGGACUGCUUUUUCCAGAAGAAGCCAACUGCAGGACGCUUAACGAAGAAAUAGCUGCCGCUCCUGAUCCCUUUACUUUGAAUAUGAAUCAGGCAAUGUCUGAAGAGGAGAAAAAAUCAGAUCAGAGGAUUUUAGACUUUUUUCAGACCGACUCUCAUGAAUACCCGGACUCUC